rnacentral:rRNA from 1 species
GACGAACGCUGGCGGCGUGCUUAACACAUGCAAGUCGAGCGGUAAGGCCCUUUCGGGGGUACACGAGCGGCGAACGGGUGAGUAACACGUGGGUGACCUGCCCUCAGCUCUGGGAUAAGCCUGGGAAACUGGGUCUAAUACUGGAUAUGACUCCACGGUGCAUGUCGUGGGGUGGAAAGCCUUGUGCGGCUGAGGAUGGGCCCGCGGCCUAUCAGCCUUGUUGGGGGGUGAUGGCCUACCAAGGCGACGACGGGUAGCCGGCCUGAGAGGGCGACCGGCCACACUGGGACUGAGACACGGCCCAGACUCCUACGGGAGGCAGCAGUGGGGAAUCUUGCGCAAUGGGCGAAAGCCUGACGCAGCGACGCCGCGUGAGGGAUGACGG